AGGACAACGCUGGCGGCGUGCUUAAUACAUGCAAGUCGAGCGAGGCCUUGGAAUUGGAGUCCUUCGGGAUGAAGAGUCCUUGGCCUAGCGGCGGACGGGUGAGUAACGCGUGGGCAACCUACCCCAAAGUCCGGGAUAACAGUGGGAAACCGCUGCUAAUACCGGAUGGCUUUACCUGAGGGCAUCCUUGGGUAAAGAAAGGUUACGCUUUGGGAUGGGCCCGCGUCCCAUUAGCUAGUUGGUGAGGUAACGGCUCACCAAGGCGACGAUGGGUAGCCGGCCUGAGAGGGUGAACGGCCACACUGGGACUGAGACACGGCCCAGACUCCUACGGGAGGCAGCAGUAGGGAAUAUUGCGCAAUGGGCGGAAGCCUGACGCAGCGACGCCGCGUGAGCGAAGAAGGCCUUCGGGUCGUAAAGCUCUGUCCUUGGGGAAGAAGGCGAAAGCUUGACGGUACCCAAGAAGAAAGCCCCGGCUAACUACGUG
rnacentral:rRNA from 1 species